rnacentral:rRNA from 1 species
UACGUAGGGUCCGAGCGUUGUCCGGAAUUAUUGGGCGUAAAGAGCUCGUAGGCGGUUUGUCGCGUCUGCUGUGAAAUCCCGAGGCUCAACCUCGGGUCUGCAGUGGGUACGGGCAGACUGGAGUGCGGUAGGGGAGAAUGGAAUUCCUGGUGUAGCGGUGGAAUGCGCAGAUAUCAGGAGGAACACCGAUGGCGAAGGCAGUUCUCUGGGCCGUAACUGACGCUGAGGAGCGAAAGCGUGGUGAGCGAACAGG